CCAUAGAAUCCACCAUGACCUUAGGUUAUUCCAAAGAGCUUUACUGUCGGGAAGCUUUAAAAUGUCAACAGUUUAGUUUAGUUUAGAGAUACAGCGCAGAAACAGGCCCUUUGGCCCACCGGGUCUGCGCCGACCAGCGAUCCCCGCAUAUUAACACUAUUAUUAACACACACUAGGGACAAUUUAUACAUUAACCAAUGCAAUUAACCUACAAAUCUGUAUGUCUUUGGAGUGUGGGAGGAUACCGAAGAUCUCUGAGAAAACCCACGCAGGUCACGGGGAGAACGUAAAACUCCGUACAGACAGCAUUUGUAGUCGGGAUCGAAACCGGGUCUCCAGUGCUGCAACUCUACCGCUGCGCCACCAUGGUCGCCCUUUAGUUCUAUAAUAUCGACAGUGCAGCAUCUAAUUUACACACCAUCAACUCCCACACACAACCAUAAAUUAUAAUGUACUGGAUAUCUCCUUUAGCAUGUGGAGGAAUAAUAUGUGUCAGGACACCAAGGAGAACUUCAAUGCCAUGACAUCUAAUUGUUCCAAUGGUUUUUUUAUUGUCAUGUGUACCAGGUACAAUGAAGUACAAUUUUUGCAUGCAGCUCAGCAAAAUUAUCCCCGUACAUAAGCACAAUCGCCCCAGUCAGUGCAGCAUGCACAGAACAGCCCACUGAGUCCACAUGCAAGAGGCGCUAUUUUGGUGCCAUUUUACAGUCCCAGCUGCAGCUGGCCACAAAAGCCCCUUGCAGCGGAUGCCUCCAUGUCCCGCAAUCCGAUGCCCCUCUCCACGCCCGGGUCCCACUCAACGCCCUCAUUCCAUGGGGGGACGACUCCUUCAGCUGACCUCGAUGGCACGAAGCAGUUUAUUUUCGUCAGGGAGAGAAAUGUACAUAAAUAAAGGACACAAAAUGCUGGAGUAACUCAGCAGCUCAGGCAUCAUCUCUGGAGAAACUGGCGAGGUGAUGUUUCGGGUCAACACUCUCCUUCAGACCGAUCGUAGGGGGGAGGGGGGAGAAAAACGCUGGAAGAGGAGAGAGGCAGGACGCAGCCUGACAGCUACUUAAUCAGAAUAAGGAUGAAAAAUGACAGAAACCACAUCAAGCUUGCAACAGGAAUGGGGUGGGAGAUUGCAACCUUCACGUGGUCCACCCUGUUUCAACGAAUGCAAACAACCUGGCGUGCACAAAUAGAAGAUCAAACUGAACAAGUUGUCUUACAACUUUAGGCUGUGCAUGCCAUUCGCAAGAAGAAGAAGCAGCAGGAAUGUUAAAUGUUAUAAUGAUAUUGCAUUUUUUGAAGAAAAAAACAAAGAAAGAAAUGCCACAUGGAAUAUAAAAUGACCUGAAACAAUGGAAGCUGCGUCAUGAAUUCAAUUUCUUUUCCACUUUAGGAAGCAGUGGCGUAGAAAUGUAUCUACUCUACAUUAUUUUAGUUUUGUGGUACAGCGUGGAAAUUGGCUCUUCAGCCCACUGAGCCCGCGCUGACCAAUGAUCACCAAUACACUGGUUUUAUCCUACACACUGGGGACAAUUUUCACAGAUAGCAAUUAACCUACAAACCUGCACGUCAUUGGAAUGUGGGAGGAAACUGGAGCCCCCGGAGAAAACCCAUUAGUAGACCUAAAAUACCAAUAAGCAGAGGGAUGGAGUAUUCUCAA